UGCUGUUUAUGUCUAAUGCAAGCUUGGAGGCCCUGACAAAGUUGCAGAAAUAACAGGCAGGCGAGGUAUGCUUGUAAGAGCAUCUAAUGGGAAAGGCGUUACGUAUCAAGCAAGAAACACAAAGGAUAUCACAAUGGAAAUGGUCAACAUGAACGAGAAACAACUAUUUAUGGAUGGUAAAAAGUUUGUUGCCAUUAUUUCUGAAGCUGGUUCAGCUGGUGUUUCGUUACAAGCAGAUAGAAGGGCAAUAAAUCAG